UACGUAGGGGGCAAGCGUUGUCCGGAAUCAUUGGGCGUAAAGCGCGUGUAGGCGGUUUCGUAAGUCUGCUGUGAAAGUCGGAGGCUCAACCUUCGAAAGCCGGUGGAUACUGUGAGACUUGAGUACGGAAGAGGAGAGUGGAAUUCCUGGUGUAGCGGUGAAAUGCGCAGAUAUCAGGAGGAACACCGGUGGCGAAGGCGGGUCUCUGGGCAACAACUGACGCUGAGGAGCGAAAGCGUGGGGAGCGAACAGG
rnacentral:rRNA from 1 species